GUGCUCACUUAGGCAGCACAUAUACUAAAAUUGGAACAACACAGAGAUUAGCAUGGCCCCUAUGCAAGGGUGACACACAAAUUCAAAAAGUGUUAUUUUUACUA